UUCCUGUACAGCUGGUUGCCUUGUAUCCGCCCUGUGCACAGCCAGGCAGUGAGCAAACAGAGCCGUGCCCAGGCCUGCUGUGUGCACACAGCCUGGGCCCUGAUUCACACUGUGACGUGCUGCCACACUGAAGCUAGCCCAGGUCAAGGCGCAGGAGAGGAACUAUAAAAGCCCAAACCAGAGCUCACUCGAGGGGCAGCUGCCGCAGAGGCCAGAUGCCUCCGGCCUAGCUCCCGGUUGGCAGACCCGGCGACCUACGGCUGGCCCAAGGAACGGCCCGACCUGCCGACGUCCACCAGAGCCCAAGGAGCUGCCCAGCCUGCCCCUCGCCAGUUACCCGGAGGAGUCCAUGGUGCUAGACCCCCUGGAGGACACCGUCCGGCCCAGCCCCUGCCUGAGAACAUGAGCCCAUGACUCACCAUUGCUACCAACUGCGGGCCGGGUGUGAAUCACUGUCUGUGUUUGCCUCUACUGCUGCCGCAGCGAGAGACCCCUGCGGCCAGGCGAAUUCCCCGUCAGCGACUGGAAGGAAGUAGCAAGAUGGUGUGGUUCCCCACUGCCCUGGAGAGGGACAAGCUGUAACGAUGCGGUUCUGGCGGGACCCAACUGAGAGUGCCAAUUCAGGACAAAUUGCUCAAAACAGGUGUGACGUUAUUGAUAUAAACUGGGACCAUAUAGAACAUGGUUUGCAACCAAGGUCCUGUAGUGGCACCAAAUCCUAUGUAA